CGUCGAGCGGCGGACGGGUGAGUAAUGCUUGGGAAUAUGCCUUAUGGUGGGGGACAACAGUUGGAAACGACUGCUAAUACCGCAUGAUGUCUACGGACCAAAGUGGGGGACCUUCGGGCCUCACGCCAUAAGAUUAGCCCAAGUGGGAUUAGCUAGUUGGUGAGGUAAUGGCUCACCAAGGCGACGAUCCCUAGCUGGUUUGAGAGGAUGAUCAGCCACACUGGGACUGAGACACGGCCCAGACUCCUACGGGAGGCAGCAGUGGGGAAUAUUGCACAAUGGGCGCAAGCCUGAUGCAGCCAUGCCGCGUGUGUGAAGAGGCCUUCGGGUUGUAAAGCACUUUCAGUAAGGAGGAAAGGUUAAGUGUUAAUAGCACUUAGCUGUGACGUUACUUACAGAAGAAGCACCGGCUAACUCCGUGCCAGCAGCCGCGGUAAUACG
rnacentral:rRNA from 1 species